rnacentral:rRNA from 1 species
GACGAACGCUGGCGGCGUGCCUAAUACAUGCAAGUCGAACGAAACGCGACUAGGUGUUUGCACUUGGCCAAGGUGAGUGGCGAACGGGAGAGUAACACGUGGGUAACCUACCUCAUAGUGAGGGAUAACAGACUGAAACGACUGCUAAUACCGCAUAGGACCUAGGAUCACAUGAUUGUGUGAGGACAGGUGGCGCAAGCUAUCGCUCAGCGAUGGACCCGCGGUGCAUUAGCUAGUUGGUAGGGUAAUGGCCUACCAAGGCGAUGAUGCAUAGCCGACCGCAGUGGGGGAUCGGCGACAUUAGGACUGGAACGCGGACCAUACUCCUACGGGACGCAGCAGUAUGGUAUGGGCCGCAGUGGACGCGAGUCUUGCGCAGUAGCGCCGCGUGAGUGAAGGAGGUCUUGGGAGCGUAAUGCCGGGCUGUGAGUGGUGAACAGCGUAUAGAGGAGCUGUUGUGCGUGUGACGGUAACUAGCCAGAAAGCAACGGCUAACUACGUG